CUGUGGGGAUAAGAUAACAUUGGCUUGUAAAAGCGUAAAGGAAACAGGAAGCCAUCGGUCAUUCCCUAACCUCUUUUUUCUUCUUGCAUGUAAAUAUGACUUUGAGCAUUCACCAUCCUUUUAGUCUCUAACUGCGAUUCAAAAUCACAAACAAGGCUGCGGGCCAUGGGGUAUCCUGUACAACAGAACCACAAAGCAUUUGAGUGCUUUGAAAUGGAGGCAACUGGAGUUCUUGCACAACACAGCUGUGAAAAUACUUUUCAGAGAGAAGAAUCUUUGCCUGUACAGAUGGAUACCACUAAACGUUGUGGAAAGUGCAAGUACCCGGAACGACUUUUUAGUGAACUGCACUACAUUCUGCAUUCGAAUAGAUUUGGUAAGACUUUUAUAUCCAUAUUUGUCUCAUACGAAGACUUUCAAUAGUUGUGAUUUUGAAUUCAUGUCUCAUAUUGUAAACAUUUAUUGACCGAGUCUCAGAACUGGCAUCCAUUAUAAGUUAGUUGUGAAUAAACUGAUAUCUACAUGGCCUCUCAGGUGACACAGUGGUUAU